rnacentral:rRNA from 1 species
GACGAACGCUGGCGGCGUGCCUAAUACAUGCAAGUCGAGCGGACAGGCUUGGGGCUUGCCCUGAUUCCGUCAGCGGCGGACGGGUGAGUAACACGUGGGCAACCUGCCUGCAAGACCGGGAUAACUCCGGGAAACCGGAGCUAAUACCGGAUAACAUCUUGGACCGCAUGGUCCUCUGUUGAAAGGCGGCCUUUGGGCUGUCACUUGCGGAUGCCCCCCCGGCGGAUUAGCUAGUUGGUGAGGCAACCGCUCAACAAGGCGAAGGAGCGGAGCCCGCCUGGGGAGGGGGCCGGCCACACUGGGACUGGGACCCGGCCCAGGCUCCCACGGGGAGGAGCAAGAGGGAAACUUCCGGAAUGGGCGGAAGCCUUACGGGACGACGCCGGGGGGGGGAAGAAGGCCUUCGGGUCGGAAAGAUCUGUUUUGAGGGGCGAAGGAGCGUCGUACGAAGAGAGGGGCGCGGUGACGGUACCUCACGAGAAAGCCCCGGCUAACUACGUG